rnacentral:lncRNA from 12 species
AAAAGAACAGUGGUUAUUUUUUUGAUACUUAACUGUGUGUCAGAAAUGCUGUAUCAAGGUAGUUACUGUAUUUCUUAAGACUAAUGUGUUCUUAUUGGAGUUCUGUAGGGAGGCUGAUUAUAAUCCAGAGGAGCAAAUGGCUUUGUAAGAGACCUCACUCUCCAUGAACGGAGAAUAUCCCUUCAGUGGGAGGGACAGCAGCUGUGAUGCCAGGCACAGAGCAGCUGGUGAGGCAUGAGAAGAAUUGCAUGGAUGUGAAAUGGCUCGUGCUGCUCAUCCCUGGAGCAUCCACUGUGUCGGCUUCAGAGCGAGCAAUUUGCAGCGGUGCAGCAAGGGGGGCGGCUCCUCCGGUCACCAUGCUUCAAGGACAAGAAGCUGGAGGUUAAGGGAAA